rnacentral:lncRNA from 1 species
GUAUAAUUGUUUAUUCAAGCUUUGUAAUUAAGAUUGACAUCUCCAAACAAUAUAUAUGACAUAGUUAAACCUGUAUAUAUCAUAUUUAAAUUCAAUUGGACAUUUUCCCAAUAUAAUUGUACACUAUACAAACAAAGCAAGCAAACUAACCAAAGUCUUCAUCUGCAUGCAUUAGGAAAUUAGCUGUAUAUAACUGAUUCAACUUUGUAUUACAGGUUAGCAUCACAGCUUGUUCUGUUGGAUACUGGCCGGAGUAGAAUUUGGAUCUUUUUGAGGUGAGAAAAUAUUUAUUUGUCCACAUACAAGAGGGUGGUAAUGGGGGUACUUUUAUAACCAAUAAUCGUAAAAAUUCUUACUGAAUGACGCCGACUGUAAAAUUUGGAGCAUGCAAUAAAAUGUAAAGUUUUAGACAAUGAAAAAAAAUCAAACAAAUUUUGAAGAAUCAAGUUAGGCCACACCAACUUAAUUUCUUGUUCUACGGAUUUUUCGACUCCAAAAUUUGGUGCGAGCGAGCGAUUUGAAAAUUUUAAUAAAAAAAUAUUUAAUUUGCAAAUUUUUGAGGCGAAGCUUGUAAAGUAAAGGCGAGCGAUUAUAUUUUUUGUAAACAUAAAAUAGUAUGUUUUGACAAUAAUAAAACUUGAUUUAUAACUUGUACUUUGACAUUUUUUAAUUUCUGAAGUAUUUUUUCCCUGUUCACCAAGAAAUAAUUAAAUCUGGUCUAUGUAUGUGUGACUGACAAUGAGACAAUUCUCCAUCCAAGUCAUAAUCAGUUUGGGGGCAACCCCUUAAUGUUAUAAAUAUCCCUUUUACAUGUUUUAUGAGGGAUCAAUAUAAGUUAUAAUAUAUUUGUUUGCACAAAAGGGCUCAUUUUUUCUCAAAGAACUAUAUAUCUAUCUAGUAUUAAAUGGUCAAAACAUGUCCAAGAAUUUUUUAAUAUUCCUGGACUUUAACCAUGUUACCAUGUUAAAUUAACACAUUUACUUUAACAGUUUAAUAUUAUUCAAAAUAAGUGGACCCCUCUUUUAGAAAAAGUUGUUUAAAAUAGGAUGUAACUGUCCUCUUUUUGAGUACAAAAUUCUAAGUUUUCAAAGGUUUUGUAUAGAAGAACUAUACAAAUCCUUGGUAUUUCUAUUUUCUUUUCUACAUCAGUAAAAUGACCCCUUGUCUGAGGGAGGGUUGUUCUCAACCUGACAAUAACAAGUACAGGUCAAAGUACGGCCUUUUAAAACAGGGCUUUGAUACAGACCAAACAGCAAGCUAUAAAGGAUCCCAAAAUUAUUAGCAUACACAAUUCGAACAGGAAAACCAACGAACUAAUUUAUAUAUCCAAACAGGAAAAUACCAAUGAACAACAUCAACAAACGAUAACUGCUGAACGACAGGCCCCUGAAUCAAUCAGGACAGGUGCAUAAACAUGCAGCGGCUAUAUAUAGUUUUGUUUUGCCAGUAUACAAUAUAAUUGCAUUUGAAGGCAAAUCCUUCAGAAGUUCUUUGUACUUUAUUCUAACAACGAACAUUUUUUGAUAGGGAAUAUAAGUAAGGGGGAAAGAAACCAAUGUUGAUAUCUUUUUAUAAUAUUUACCAAAAAAAAACGGUGCGGGAAAUAGACACGAUUACAUUUCCGGAUGCGGGAAACGGGAAUAUAAAAAAAAUUCUGUUUUGAAAAAAAUAGGUGUGGGCGGGUCCGUCGAACAAGGAAUCAAAUUAGUGUGGCCUUAUAAUUUUUUUCCAAAAAAUAACUGUAACGAUCAUUAUUUGAGACCUCUGACAAAUCACCAGAAGGAUAUUUUUAUCAUCAAUUUGAUGCUAACAGUAGCCGAUAAUGACCGUUUGACGCCUGAUGGUAAAGGGCAUUACUACCCUCCUACAAAUUUAAUUAAUUGAUGUAAUCUUAUGGACAGUUUAAAUUUCUAUAAAUCUUUAUUAUUUGCAAUUAUAUUUCAUCUUAAUAUUUUCUACUGCAGCCUUUAUAGAUGUAAAUCAGAUGUUUUUAAUGCUCUAAACAGUUCAGAAGGUUUAUAGUCCUUUUUAUCUACUUUCUCUUAUACCAUUUUUAAACUUUUACAUAAUAACCAUGAACUGAAUCAUAAAAAGAACCAUUUGUUUUUAUCAUAUUAAAGAAUUGUGAAUACUUGAAAAGGGGAGAUAACCUCACAUUUAUUUGCAAUGAAAUGGCAAGUGCUGUCACAUAGAUAAGAUGUCUUAAUUAUAUUUUGCUUCUUAUUCAGUUUUGUAUUUCUUUCAAUACAAAUUUCCAAAGAAUUCAUUUCUUCAUUCAAUAUAAGGAGAAAACAAAGUAAAUGUCAUAAAACUAGAACCAAACAAUGAAAGAUUAUCGAAAUAUAUUCUGAAUAAUUUUAUCAUUAGUAUGUAAAUUUUUCAAAUUUUCAGCUUUAUAGCUUCUGCUCUUGUUUGACACUCAAUAAAUAAUUAAUUCGAUAUUGGUAAUAGUGAUGUUAACACUUGAAAUCAAAAUUAGCUUAUUAAAAUGUUCAUUUAUAACAAAUUUAGCUGCACAAUCUCUAUUGCAAUAUUUUUUGGUAAAUCAAUAAAUUUGAAUAGAAAACAAGUAUUUUUAUAUACAACAAAAUUCUGUCUAUUUAAAAGAAAAAAACACUCAAAUAUUUAAACAUUACCUAAUUCAUAUAUUUUAACAUUACUUAAAAUUACUAUGGAUUGUCAAGAAAUGAAAUAUUAUUUUAUUUUAUUUUUAGGUGUGUUUCUACUGCUGCCUUGUGUGGUCAAUCCAAUGGACAAUAACAAUCAUGCAGACCAGAUAUAUAUUGCUCUUUUGUUUAAUAAAAUACUUAUAAUUCUGAAAGC